ACAAGAAGUAAUCAGUUUAAUCUGCAGCAAGAGAGAUUUAGAUUAGCUAUUAGGAAACACUUUCAAACGAUAAGGAUAGUUAAGAAUUGGAACAGGAUAGUAACCAGGGAAGUUGUGGAAU